rnacentral:rRNA from 1 species
CAGCAGCCGCGGGAACACGGAGGGUGCAAGCGUUAAUCGGAAUUACUGGGCGUAAAGCGUGCGUAGGCGGUUCGUUAAGUCUGUUGUGAAAGCCCCGGGCUCAACCUGGGAAUGGCAAUGGAUACUGGCGAGCUAGAGUGUGUCAGAGGAUGGUGGAAUUCCCGGUGUAGCGGUGAAAUGCGUAGAGAUCGGGAGGAACAUCAGUGGCGAAGGCGGCCAUCUGGGACAACACUGACGCUGAGGCACGAAAGCGUGGGGAGCAAACAGGAUUAGAUACCCCCGUAGUCCCUGUCUCUUAUAC